CUACUUACGGGUUAAAAGUUGUGGUUUUGUGGGAGCACGAAUGGACAGCCCUCAAAAAGGCAGAUCCUAGUGUUAAGGCCUUCCUUACCCAUUAUGACCCUCCAGAGCCCCUGGAACCGCGACAGGCCUUGUUUGGAGGCCGGACCAAUGCUUUGACAUUGCGUUAUGUAGCUCAACCCGACGAGACAAUAGGCUAUGUAGAUUUUACAUCCCUAUAUCCUCAUGUAAUGAGUUCCUCAUUCUAUCCUAUAGGGCAUCCUGAAAUUAUUCACAGCGACUUUGACGAACCCCAAAAUUAUUUUGGUUUAAUCAAAGCGACUGUCUACCCUCCUAGGGGGCUGUUUAUACCUGUGUUGCCUUACAAGGGUCCUAAAGGAAAACUUUUCUUUCCCCUUUGUCGCACAUGCUGUGAAAACCACAACCAGGAAAACCCCUGUGAUCACACAGAUCAAGAAAGAGCCCUGACCGGUGUAUGGGUCACUGUAGAAUUCUCUAAGGCUUUAGAGAAGGGGUAUCGUGUGGCCAAAAUCUUUGAAGUGUGGAACUUUUCCAGGAAAUCAGACACACUUUUUAAAGAGUACAUCAAAACCUUCUUGAGAUGCAAGCAGAUGGCUUCAGGCUAUCCUGCAUCGGUCACAGAUCAAGAAAGUAAAGACCAGUACAUUCAAGACUACCAUGACAGAGAAGGCAUACUUCUUGACCCUGACAGAAUAGAGGUCAACAAAACCAAAAGAAAUGUGUCGAAAUUGUACUUGAACUCCCUUUGGGGGAAAUUAGCGCAGAGAUGCAAUAUGCUAACAACUUCGAUCAUUAAAGACCCCGAAGAAUUUUUGGAAUUUGUUUUUUCGGACCAAUACGAAAUUUCACAUUUUUCCUUCUUGAGUCAAGACAUUGCCUUGGUGCAAUGGAGGCGCCACCAAAAGUGGGUUCUACCCCCGGGUAAUGUAAAUGUGUUUCUUGCAGCAUUUACCACAGCCUAUGGCCGCCUUGAACUGUACACCCUCAUGGAACAGCUUCAGAGGCGGGUUCUUUACCACGACACAGACUCUGUGGUCUAUGUAAGCAAACCGGGGGAUUGGACCCCCCCACUUAGCAACUAUCUUGGGGGUUUAACGAGUGAACUCGAAGAGGGUGACCAUAUUACAGAAUGGUCCUCAUGUGGUCCAAAAAGCUAUGCUUUUAGGACUAAAGCCAAUCACGUGGUGUUGAAAGCCAAAGGCGUGACUCAAAACUAUGAAAAUGCACCGCGUGUAAACUUGGAAUCAAUCACGCGCUUGGUCGAGGGGUUCGUAAAGGACAAGAAUAGUGACUUGGAGAUUUUGAGCUCCUACAACAAAAUAGUGAGGGAUAAAAAGGGGUUCCAUCUAAGAAACGCACCACUCACUAAAAGAUUCAGGGUAGUCUAUGACAAGAGACAGCUAUUGCCUGACGGUACCACAUUGCCCUUUGGCUACUGACUUAUGCUACAAGCCCCAGUGUGUCUUAAAGCUUAAGAUAUUAUGACUGCUGUCGAGGGUUUUGACCCCCGGCUACAAUUGCCUUUUUCAGCAUUAAUUGCAGGCCCUUCAAAC
rnacentral:lncRNA from 1 species